rnacentral:rRNA from 1 species
GCUACACAUGCAGUCGAGCGGUAACAGAAAGUAGCUUGCUACUUUGCUGACGAGCGGCGGACGGGUGAGUAAUGCUUGGGAACAUGCCUUGAGGUGGGGGACAACAGUUGGAAACGACUGCUAAUACCGCAUAAUGUCUACGGACCAAAGGGGGCUUCGGCUCUCGCCUUUAGAUUGGCCCAAGUGGGAUUAGCUAGUUGGUGAGGUAAUGGCUCACCAAGGCAACGAUCCCUAGCUGGUUUGAGAGGAUGAUCAGCCACACUGGAACUGAGACACGGUCCAGACUCCUACGGGAGGCAGCAGUGGGGAAUAUUGCACAAUGGGCGAAAGCCUGAUGCAGCCAUGCCGCGUGUGUGAAGAAGGCCUUCGGGUUGUAAAGCACUUUCAGUCAGGAGGAAAGGGUGUGAGUUAAUACCUCACAUCUGUGACGUUACUGACAGAAGAAGCACCGGCUAACUCCGUGCCAGCAGCCGCGGUAAUACGGAGGGUGCGAGCGUUAAUCGGAAUUACUGGGCGUAAAGCGUACGCAGGCGGUUUGUUAAGCGAGAUGUGAAAGCCCCGGGCUCAACCUGGGAACUGCAUUUCGAACUGGCAAACUAGAGUGUGAUAGAGGGUGGUAGAAUUUCAGGUGUAGCGGUGAAAUGCGUAGAGAUCUGAAGGAAUACCGAUGGCGAAGGCAGCCACCUGGGUCAACACUGACGCUCAUGUACGAAAGCGUGGGGAGCAAACGGGAUUAGAUACCCCGGUAGUCCACGCCGUAAACGAUGUCUACUAGAAGCUCGGAACCUCGGUUCUGUUUUUCAAAGCUAACGCAUUAAGUAGACCGCCUGGGGAGUACGGCCGCAAGGUUAAAACUCAAAUGAAUUGACGGGGGCCCGCACAAGCGGUGGAGCAUGUGUUUAAUUCGAUGCAACGCGAAGAACCUUACCUACACUUGACAUACAGAGAACUUACUAGAGAUGGAUUGGUGCCUUCGGGAACUUCUGAUACA